GUCCUUAGUUACCAGCACGUUAUGGUGGGCACUCUAAGGAGACUGCCGGUGACAAACCGGAGGAAGGUGGGGAUGACGUCAAGUCAUCAUGGCCCUUACGGCCUGGGCUACACACGUGCUACAAUGGUCGGUACAGAGGGUUGCCAAGCCGCGAGGUGGAGCUAAUCUCACAAAACCGAUCGUAGUCCGGAUCGCAGUCUGCAACUCGACUGCGUGAAGUCGGAAUCGCUAGUAAUCGCGAAUCAGAAUGUCGCGGUGAAUACGUUCCCGGGCCUUGUACACACCGCCCGUCACACCAUGGGAGUGGGUUGCACCAGAAGUA
rnacentral:rRNA from 1 species